rnacentral:snoRNA from 1 species
CUCCUCCAGAGUCCUGACCCCUCCGAUCUACAUAUUGGUCUGAGUGGCUGAGGAAAGGAGGAAAAGUAACACUGGAGUGGGCUUGGAGUCUUGACUGACAUACAAGUUCAUUUCCAAACACU